GUUCAGACAGACAGGAAGUGGCUGAUUAAAUCACCUUUAUUAAAAGAUACAAGAUGCUGGAAUACCAACACUUUAGAAUGCAGAAGUACUUUACACACAGGCCCAGGCUUGUGUCCAACAUGGCCCCUUAUUCACUAUAUAGUGCACUACUUUACACACAGGCCCAGGCUUGUGUCCAAUAUGGCCCCUUAUUCACUAUAUAGUGCACUACUUUACACACAGGCCCAGGCUUGUGUCCAAUAUGGCCCCUUAUUCACUAUAUAGUGCACUACUUUACACACAGGCCCAGGCUUGUGUCCAAUAUGGCCCCUUAUUCACUAUAUAGUGCACUACUUUACACACAGGCCCAGGCUUGUGUCCAAUAUGGCCCCUUAUUCACUAUAUAGUGCACUACUUUACACACAGGCCCAGGCUUGUGCCCAACCAAACUCACAUAGAGGCUGUAUCCAAUAUGGCCCCUUAUUCACCAUGUAGUGCACUACUUUAGACCAGAGCCCUAUUCCCUAUAUAGGGCACUACUUUAGACCAAAGCCCUAUUCCAUAUAUAGUGCACUACUUUAGACCAGAGCCCUAUUCCCUAUAUAGUGCACUACUUUAGACCAGAGCCUAAUUCCAUAUAUAGUGCACUACUUUAGACCAGAGCCCUAUUCCCUAGAUAGUGCACUACCUUUAACUACAGCAUUAUUCCAUAUAUAGUGCACUACUUUAGACCAGAGCCCUAUUCCCUAUAUAGUGCACAACAUUAUACUACAGCCCUAUUCCCUAUAUAGUGCACUACUUUAUACUACAGCCCUAUUCCCUAUAUAGUGCACUACUUUUAACCAGAGCCCUGAAUAGACCAGACACCUAAUCAUCUAUAUACAUCUUAAUCUAGCAUUGUGUUUCUCCUAUUAAUCACCCUGUGAAUGACUCUCUAUGGGUCCAGGUUAACACACUAUAAAGGGAACAGAAUGACUCUCUAUGGGUCCAGGUUAACACUCUAUAAGGGGAACAGAAUGACUCUCUAUGGGUCCAGGUUAACACACUAUAAAGGGGAACAGAAUGACUCUCUAUGGGUCCAGGUUAACACACUAUAAAGGGGAACAGAAUGACUCUCUAUGGGUCCAGGUUAACACUCUAUAAGGGGAACAGAAUGACUCUCUAUGGGUCCAGGUUAACACUCUAUAAAGGGAACAGAAUGACUCUCUAUGGGUCCAGGUUAACACUCUAUAAGGGGAACAGAAUGACUCUCUAUGGGUCCAGGUUAACACAUUAUAAAGUGAAUAAGAGUCCAUUUGGAACACAGCCACAGUAGUAAUAACAAAGGUAUUUUUUGAUCAAAAUCCCUGUAAAUAUCUGCGGUAUCCUUGCCAACCCAUUUCAAUCUGCAGGUUGUUUUUUUCUUUUCAAAAUCACAACGUGACAGUAAACCAGUCUUUAAAGAAAAAAGAGAUCUGAAACCAUGCAACACUCAACAAGCCCACGUUACAGUUACUUCUGGGUUCGCCACCGUUUUGAAUGGCAUCAUCAAUAUCAUCAUCAUCAUCAUCAUCAUCAUCAUCAUCAUCAUCAAUAUCAUGAUCAUCGUCAUCAAUAUCAUGAUCAUCAUCAUCAAUAUCAUCAUCAUCAUCAUCAAUAUCAUGAUCAUCAUCAUCAAUAUCAUCAUCAUCAAUAUCAUGAUCAUCGUCAUCAAUAUCAUGAUCAUCAUCAUCAAUAUCAUCAUCAUCAUCAUCAAUAUCAUGAUCAUCAUCAUCAAUAUUAUCAUCAUCAAUAUCAUGAUCAUUAUCAAUAUCAUGAUCAUCAUCAACAAUAUCAUGAUCAUCAUCAAUAUCAUCAUCAUCAAUAUCAUGAUCAUCAUCAAUAUCAUGAUCAUCAUCAUCAUCAUCAAUAUCAUCAUCAUCAUCAUCAAUAUCAUCAUCAUCAACACUUACAACACCAUAAGACUUCACACAACAGUGACAAGGACGUUUUGACGUUUUUUUGGGGGGGGGAGACAGAAUCGAUCAAAUCUCGAAGACCUCAUCCACUGAGUUUCCAUGACAGGACAAAACGGGUCACGUCGUAGAUAGAACGGGGUUCUCUUCUGUUUCAUUAGUUCGUUACCCGAGUCCAUCGCUGCCUUUAGGCCUCAUGCUUGGUGUUAAAGGGGGACAGUGACGAGCAACAGAUAUACACUACACUUCAGCAAACUAACCACUGGCACCAAACACUAACCUGCUGCUCCCAGAUCAGUGUCUAACCUCCGUGUUGGCACCAAACACUAACCUGCAGCUCCCAGAUCAGUGUCUAACCU
ensembl:lncRNA